GUAGGGGGCAAGCGUUAUCCGGAUUUACUGGGUGUAAAGGGAGCGUAGACGGCUUUGCAAGUCUGAUGUGAAAGGCGGGGGCUCAACCCCUGGACUGCAUUGGAAACUGUGGGGCUUGAGUGCCGGAGAGGUAAGCGGAAUUCCUAGUGUAGCGGUGAAAUGCGUAGAUAUUAGGAGGAACACCAGUGGCGAAGGCGGCUUACUGGACAGUAACUGACGUUGAGGCUCGAAAGCGUGGGGAGCAAACAGGAUUAGAUACCCUGGUAGUCCACGCCGUAAACGAAGAAUACUAGGUGUUGGGGGACAAAGUCCUUCGGUGCCGUCGCAAACGCAAUAAGUAUUCCACCUGGGGAGU
rnacentral:rRNA from 1 species